AGCAGCCGCGGUAAUUCCAGCUCCAAUAGCGUAUAUUAAAGUUGUUGCAGUUAAAAAGCUCGUAGUUGAAUUUCGGGAUCAUCAGGUUGGUCGUGCCUCUGGUAUGUACUUGCUUCGAUGGUCUCUCCUUCUUGAAGAACCGUAAUGGCAUUAAUUUGUUGUUGCGGGGAAACAGGACUGUUACUUUGAAAAAAUUAGAGUGUUUAAAGCAGGCAAUCGCUUGAAUACAUUAGCAUGGAAUAAUGAAAUAGGACGUUCGAUCCUAUUUUGUUGGUUUCUAGGAUUGACGUAAUGAUUAAUAGGGAUAGUUGGGGGCAUUAGUAUUCAAUUGUCAGAGGUGAAAUUCUUGGAUUUAUUGAAGACUAACUACUGCGAAAGCAUUUGCCAAGGAUGUUUUCAUUAAUCAAGAACGAAAGUUAGGGGAUCGAAGACGAUCAGAUACCGUCGUAGUCUUAACCAUAAACUAUGCCGACUAGGGAUCGGAUGAUGUUAAUUUUUAAUGACUCAUUCGGCGUCCG
rnacentral:rRNA from 1 species